rnacentral:tRNA from 1 species
AUUUUAGUGGUGUAAGUAAACACGAUUCAUUUUCAAUGAAUUGAUAGGAUUUUCCUUUAAAAUU